rnacentral:rRNA from 1 species
CAGCCGUAAACUAUGCGCGUUAGGUGUAUCGGUGACCACGAGUCACCGAGGUGCCGAAGGGAAACCGUGAAACGUGCCGCCUGGGAAGUACGGUCGCAAGGCUGAAACUUAAAGGAAUUGGCGGGGGAGCACCACAACAGGUGGAGCCUGCGGUUUAAUUGGACUCAACGCCGGGAAGCUCACCGGAUAGGACAGCAGAAUGAUUGCCGGGCUGAAGACCCUGCAUGACUAGCUGAGAGGAGGUGCAUGGCGUCAGUGACU